rnacentral:rRNA from 1 species
AGAACCUUACCAGGUCUUGACAUACUCGUGCUAUUCCUAGAGAUAGGAAGUUCNUUCGGGACACGGGAUACAGGUGGUGCAUGGUUGUCGUCAGCUCGUGUCGUGAGAUGUUGGGUUAAGUCCCGCAACGAGCGCAACCCUUAUUGUUAGUUGCCAUCAUUAAGUUGGGCACUCUAGCGAGACUGCCGGUAAUAAACCGGAGGAAGGUGGGGAUGACGUCAAAUCAUCAUGCCCCUUAUGACCUGGGCUACACACGUGCUACAAUGGUUGGUACAACGAGUCGCAAGACAGUGAUGUCAAGCUAAUCUCUUAAAGCCAAUCUCAGUUCGGAUUGUAGGCUGCAACUCGCCUACAUGAAGUCGGAAUCGCUAGUAAUCGCGGAUCAGCACGCCGCGGUGAAUACGUUCCCGGGCCUUGUACACACCGCCCGUCACACCACGAGAGUUUGUAAUACCCAAAGCCGGUGAGCUAACCUUUUAGGAGGCAGCCGUCUAAGGUAGGAUAGAUGAUUGGGGUGAAGUC